GACGAACGCUGGCGGCGUGCUUAACACAUGCAAGUCGAACGCUGAAGACCUGGCUUUUGUUGGGUUGGAUGAGUGGCGAACGGGUAAGUAACACGUGAGUAACCUGCCCUCUUCUUUGGGAUAACGCCCGGAAACGGGUGCUAAUACUGGAUAUUCACUGAUCUUCGCAUGGGGGUUGGUGGAAAGGUUUGUUCUGGUGGGGGAUGGGCUCGCGGCCUAUCAGCUUGUUGGUGGGGUGAUGGCCUACCAAGGCUUUGACGGGUAGCCGGCCUGAGAGGGUGACCGGUCACAUUGGGACUGAGAUACGGCCCAGACUCCUACGGGAGGCAGCAGUGGGGAAUAUUGCACAAUGGGCGAAAGCCUGAUGCAGCGACGCCGCGUGAGGGAUGGAGGCCUUCGGGUUGUAAACCUCUUUCGCUCAUGGUCAAGCCGCAACUGUGGGUUGUGGUGAGGGUAGUGGGUAAAGAAGCGCCGGCUAACUACGUG
rnacentral:rRNA from 1 species